AAUAUUGGACAAUGGGCGAAAGCCUGAUCCAGCCAUGCCGCGUGUGUGAAGAAGGUCUUCGGAUUGUAAAGCACUUUAAGUUGGGAGGAAGGGCAUUAACUUAAUACGUUAGUGUUUUGACGUUACCGACUGCAUAAGCACAGGCUAACUUCUUGCCAGCAGCCGCGGUAAUCCGAAGGUGGCAAGCGUUAAUCGGAAUUACUGGGCGUAAAGCGGGCGUAGGUGGUUCGUUAAGUUGGAUGUUAAAGCCCCGGGCUCAACCUGGGAACUGCAUCCAAAACUGGCGAGCUAGAGUACGGUAGAGGGUGGUGGAAUUUCCUGUGUAGCGGUGAAAUGCGUAGAUAUAGGAAGGAACACCAGUGGCGAAGGCGACCACCUGGGCUAAUACUGACACUGAGGUGCGAAAGCGUGGGGAGCAAACAGG
rnacentral:rRNA from 1 species